rnacentral:snRNA from 13 species
AUAUACGCCGGAACCAGGAGAUGAUUACGAACACCCAGGUGGAGGCUCACCCUUGCACUCUGGUGGAUUAAAGCCUGCGACGAUCCCUAAUCGGGCUGGCUCGGGCUCGUAGUUUUUGCCAUUGGGGAGGUCUUCGAACCAUCCGUU